CGUAGGGUGCAAGCGUUGUCCGGAAUUAUUGGGCGUAAAGAGCUCGUAGGCGGUCUGUCGCGUCUGCUGUGAAAACUCAGGGCUCAACCCUGGGCGUGCAGUGGGUACGGGCAGACUGGAGUGCAGUAGGGGAGACUGGAAUUCCUGGUGUAGCGGUGAAAUGCGCAGAUAUCAGGAGGAACACCGGUGGCGAAGGCGGGUCUCUGGGCUGUUACUGACGCUGAGGAGCGAAAGCGUGGGAGCGAACAGGAUU
rnacentral:rRNA from 1 species